GAUGAACGCUGGCGGCGUGCCUAAUACAUGCAAGCCGAGCGAACGGACGAGAAGCUUGCUUCUCUGAUGUUAGCGGCGGACGGGUGAGUAACACGUGGAUAACCUACCUAUAAGACUGGGAUAACUUCGGGAAACCGUAGCUAAUACCGGAUAAUAUUUUGAACCGCAUGGUUCAAAAGUGAAAGACGGUCUUGCUGUCACUUAUAGAUGGAUCCGCGCUGCAUUAGCUAGUUGGUAAGGUAACGGCUUACCAAGGCAACGAUGCAUAGCCGACCUGAGAGGGGGACGGCCCAAAGGGGACAGGAGACCCGGCCCAGACCCCUAGGGGGGGGACGGGGGGGAAUCCGCCGCAAAGGGGGAAAGUCUGGAGGGACAACCCCGGGGGGAGGGAGAAGGUUUUUGGGUCGGAAAAACUUUUUUAUUAGGAAAAACAAUUUGGGAAAGUACCUGUGCACAUCUGGCGGGUCCCUAAUAAAAAGCCCAGGCCAACCUCCGUC
rnacentral:rRNA from 1 species